rnacentral:rRNA from 1 species
AGACGGGGGGUGCUAGCGUUGUUCGGAAUUACUGGGCGUAAAGCGUACGUAGGCGGUUAUUUAAGUCAGAUGUGAAAGCCCCGGGCUUAACUUGGGAACUGCAUUUGAAACUGGGUAACUAGAGUUUAGUAGAGGGGAGUGGAAUUUCAGGUGUAGCGGUGAAAUGCGUAGAGAUCUGAAGGAACACCAGUGGCGAAGGCGACUCCCUGGACUAGAACUGACGCUGAGGUACGAAAGCGUGGGUAGCAGACAGGAUUAGAAACCCCAGUAGUCC